UUUGUUUUGUAUUGAAGGCUGUGUAUCCCCCGUUCACAAACCGCUUGUGGAAAUAAAGCCUCUUUAAAUCUGAUACUUCUUUUUCAGUAGUCUUGUUAACAAGACUCUGUCCUCAUUAAUGCAUUAGUACCAUUAUUGCAGGAAUGAGUUUCUGAUAAAAAGAUGAAUUUUACUUCCUUCCCUCUGUUUUGCAUGUGCUCUCUUGCCCUUCUGCCUUCUCCAUGGGAUGACACAGGAAGAAGACCAUCACCAGAGGCUCAAGGAGCUCUCUUGUUCCUUCCACCAUCUGAGAACACAGUGAGAAGUCCCCAGGCUUCAACCUGAAAAAGGGCCCUCAUCAGAACCUGAUCAUCAGAACUUGGCACCCCAAUCUUUGUCUUCUGAUCUACAUUGUGACCUAAGUCAGAACGGGGCCAUAGCAGGCAUAAAAGCAACAAUUUAUCAAACUGCCUGAGGGAAUGAUGUAAAAAAUGCUCAUCAAGAAUAUCCAUCUGGACAGGACAAAAAAUGACGCUGAGAGGACUUUGGAGAGUUUCUACCCAGUUUUCCUAAAUUCCAGGAAGUUUUCUUAGUAGAAAUGAUGAUGACUGAAAGCUACUUCAUUUCUGGGAUACUUGAGACUUCUGGUCUGCAUAUGUGACUGUAGGAAGAAAUAAAUAAUUUAUGUUUUGGAAAAACCCUAAUUACCUAAAGAUGACUCUCAUGGAGUAAAAGGGAAAUGGGCAUUUGUCUUGUUUUCCCAAACUCUUUCAGUACUCAGUGAAUAAAAAUUAAGGUAACAACAUGAAUUCAGAAGGGCUUCUUAUUUGAGCUCUCUUACCUGUGCAGACUUAUAUUAUUGUGUGUGUGACAGGCAUUUUCCUUAUUUUAUUUUAUACAAUGUGUGUGAAUAAAUUUUUAUACAACUUCUUUUAUUAAAGGCAGAGAAUGCUUCAGCUUACCUUUGUAUUAUCUACAUUUUGGAAACAGAAUGAAUAUUCAAAUGUUGAAUUAGCUCGAAU
rnacentral:lncRNA from 10 species